rnacentral:rRNA from 1 species
AGCAGCCGCGGUAAUUCCAGCUCCAAUAGCGUAUAUUAAAGUUGUUGCAGUUAAAAAGCUCGUAGUUGAAUUUCGGGAUCAAAUUGUUGGUCGUGCCUCGGUACGCACUGGCAUUAUCGGUUCCUACCUUCUGAAGAACCGCGAUGUCAUUAAUUUGGUGUCAUGGGGAAUCAGGACUGUUACUUUGAAAAAAUUAGAGUGUUUAAAGCAGGCUCGCGCUUGAAUAUAUUAGCAUAGG